GACGAACGCUGGCGGCGUGCUUAACACAUGCAAGUCGAGCGGGAAGGCCCUUCGGGGUACUCGAGCGGCGAACGGGUGAGUAACACGUGAGUAAUCUGCCCUUCACUCUGGGAUAGCCACCGGAAACGGUGAUUAAUACCGUAUACGACCAAUCCCUGCAUGGGGUGUUGGUGGAAACUUUUUUGGGUGGGGGAUGUGCUCGCGGCCUAUCAGCUUGUUGGUGGGGUAAUGGCCUACCAAGGCUUCGACGGGUAGCCGGCCUGAGAGGGUGACCGGCCACACUGGGACUGAGACACGGCCCAGACUCCUACGGGAGGCAGCAGUGGGGAAUAUUGGACAAUGGGCGGAAGCCUGAUCCAGCAACGCCGCGUGAGGGAUGACGGCCUUCGGGUUGUAAACCUCUUUCAGCACCGACGAAGCGCAAGUGACGGUAGGUGCAGAAGAAGGACCGGCCAACUACGUGCCAGCAGCCGCAGUAACAC
rnacentral:rRNA from 1 species